rnacentral:lncRNA from 1 species
UCCAUGAGGAUGAUGAUUUGUACCCUUCCCUUGGUUCUUCUCUUGCCGCGGUAGGAAGUGAGAAAUUUCAGCGGCCAAGCCCUUCAUAGCAUCCAAAACUUCUUUAGUGGGUAAAGUAUUAAACAUCUCCAACCAGACAGAACAGGUGGUAUAAAUAGGAGGGCCAUAGUUUCUGAGUGGCGGAGGUUGCAACCUUCUUUUAUUUCUCCUGGAUGAUUGCUGGCGGAGGAAAACCUCUUUAGUGGGUAAAGAAUCAAACAUCUCCAACCAGACAGAACAGGUGGUAUAAAUAGGCGGGCCAUAGUUUCUGAGUGGCGGAGGUUGCAACCUUCUUUUAUUUCUCCUGGAUGAUUGCUGGCGGAGGGAGACACACUGGUCGAGCCACUUAUUUAUAGCAUCCACGUAUGCCUUCUGAGCAACAACCCACUUUGUAAAGCUUGAAGAAAGCGAACUCAAUUG